rnacentral:rRNA from 1 species
UGCGUAGACGGUUAUUUAAGUCGGAUGUGAAAUCCCCGGGCUCAACCCGGGAACUGCGUCCGAGACUGAAAGGCUAGAAUCCGGGAGAGGGAUGUGGAAUUCCAGGUGUAGCGGUGAAAUGCGUAGAUAUCUGGAGGAACAUCGGUGGCGAAGGCGGCAUCCUGGACCGGUAUUGACGCUGAGGCGCGAAAGCCGAGGGGAAGGCAAACG